rnacentral:lncRNA from 1 species
GAACACAGCAAUCCCAGGUUACAUGAAGGAGGUGAAUGGCUCUGUGACGUGGAAAGAGAGUCCUGGCCCUGCAUCUCAAAGAACAGUAAUUUAUUCAAGAGAAGAACAACCAUGGCAGGAAUCUGACAAUAAUGAUCCAUAUCUACUCCCUUCUCCAAGCAGAAGUGCAAGGGUUCACAGGCCAGCCCUGCCUUCCAGGCCGCUGACAACAUCCAGAGCUGGCUACACAGCACGG